rnacentral:rRNA from 1 species
CUCCGGUUGAUCCUGCCGGACCUGACUGCUAUCGGAUUGGUACUAAGCCAUGCGAGUCGUUGUAGCAAUACAAGGCGGACGGCUCAGUAACACGUAGUCAACCUAACCUAUGGACGUGGAUAACCUCGGGAAACUGAGAAUAAACCGCGAUAGAUCAUUAUGCCUGGAAUGGCUUAUGGUUCAAACAAUUUAUUGCCGUAGGAUGGGACUGCGGCCUAUCAGCUUGUUGGUGAGGUAAUGGCCCACCAAGGCUAUAACAGGUACGGGCUCUGAGAGGAGAAGCCCGGAGAUGGGUACUGAGACACGGACCCAGGCCCUAUGGGGCGCAGCAGGCGAGAAACCUUAGCAAUGUGCGAAAGCACGACUAGGUUAAUCCGAGUGAUUUCUGUUGAAGAAAUCUUUUGUCAGUCGUAAAACCACAGACGAAUAAGGGGUGGGCAAGUCUGGUGUCAGCCGCCGCGGUAAUACCAGCACCUCGAGUGGUCAGGAGGUUUAUUGGGCCUAAAGCAUCCGUAGCCGGCUACGCAAGUCUCCGGUUAAAUCCAGCUGCUCAACAGAUGGGCUGCCGGAGAUACUACAUAGCUAGGGAGCGGGAGAGGUAGACGGUAUUCUGUGGGUAGGGGUAAAAUCCACUGAUCCAUAGAGGACCACCAGUGGCGAAGGCGGUCUACCAGAACGCGUUCGACGGUGAGGGAUGAAAGCUGGGGGAGCAAACCGGAUUAGAUACCCGGGUAGUCCCAGCUGUAAACGAUGCAAACUCGGUGAUGCAUUGGCUUAUGGCCAAUGCAGUGCCGCAGGGAAGCCGUUAAGUUUGCCGCCUGGGAAGUACGGACGCAAGUCUGAAACUUAAAGAAUUGGCGGGGGAGCA